rnacentral:rRNA from 1 species
UAUGUAGGGUGCAAGCGUUAAUCGGAAUUACUGGGCGUAAAGCGUGCGCAGGCGGCGCCGCAAGUCAGGCGUGAAAUCCCCGAGCUUAACUUGGGAAUGGCGCUUGAAACUACGGUGCUGGAGUGUGGCAGAGGGAGGUGGAAUUCCACGUGUAGCGGUGAAAUGCGUAGAGAUGUGGAGGAACACCGAUGGCGAAGGCAGCCUCCUGGGCCAACACUGACGCUCAUGCACGAAAGCGUGGGGAGCAAACAGG